rnacentral:rRNA from 1 species
UACAGAGAGUGGUAGGCGUUGUUUACAAUGGUUCGGUGUUAAAGAUGCUAAGACUAAUAAAGUUAAUUCCUCAAAUUAUUUAGAUUAAUUAACUUUUAUUAUACUUUUCUGAUAAAACCCUCACAUCCUUUAUUAGGGGUAAAAUCUUGAUAUUAAAGGUAGGUGUAUCCUAGUAGUAAUCUUGGGUUUAUGAGAAUUGUUUAAUUGACUGCAUGAAAGUAUAGGGAGCGAUGAGGAUUAGAGACCCUUGUAGUCUAUACUGUAAAAUAUGAUUAUUUGAAAAUAGCUAACGUGAAGAAUAAUCUACCGAGGGACUAAAACCGCAAGGUUAAAAUUUAAAAAAAUUGGCGGGACUUUUUAAACGGUGGAGCAUGUGAUUUAAUUCGGUGAUCCUCGAAAAACCUUACUAAUACGAUAUCAUUACGGUUUUAUUUUUAUAAAAAUAAUAUUCGUGAUAAACGGUAUUGCAUGGCCGUCGUCAGUUCGUGUUGUGAAAUGUAGCAUUAAUUUGUAUUUAACGAACGAAACCCUUAACUAUAUUAUUUAAAUAUAUUAAAGGAUGAAGUCAGGUCUGUAUGGUCUAUUUGUAUUAGGCUACACACGUGUUACAUCUGAAAAAACAAUACUAUACUACCUAGUAAUAGGAUGUAGUAAAAAAUUUUAUUUGUCCGGAUUGUUAUUUGAAACUCAAUAACAUGAAGCCGAAAUCGUCAGUAAUCGUAAAAUAGAAUGUUACGGUGAAGUCAAGAAAAGGAGUUUGCACACACCGCCCAUCACGCUCGGAGAGUUGAUAUGGCUUAAGUUGUGUAUGCUAAGAGAUAUUAAAUGAUUAGCAAGUACAUAGCCGAACCUAUAUUUUCGAUCGGAGUGAAG